rnacentral:rRNA from 1 species
UACGUAGGGGGCUAGCGUUGUCCGGAAUCAUUGGGCGUAAAGCGCGUGUAGGCGGCUUGGCAAGUCGGUUGUGAAAGCCCGGGGCCCAACCCCGGAACUGCAUCUGAAACUGCCUAGCUAGAGUCCCGGAGAGGAAGGCAGAAUUCCCGGUGUAGGGGUGAAAUCCGUAGAUAUCGGGAGGAAUACCAGCGGCGAAGGCGGCCUUCUGGACGGUGACUGACGCUGAGACGCGAAAGCGUGGGGAGCAAACAGG